GACGAACGCUGGCGGCGUGCUUAACACAUGCAAGUCGAACGCUGAAGCUCAGCUUUUGUUGGGUGGAUGAGUGGCGAACGGGUGAGUAACACGUGAGUAACCUGCCCCCUUCUUUGGGAUAACGCCCGGAAACGGGUGCUAAUACUGGAUAUUCACUGGUCUUCGCAUGGGGGUUGGUGGAAAGGGUUUUUCUGGUGGGGGAUGGGCUCGCGGCCUAUCAGCUUGUUGGUGGGGUGAUGGCCUACCAAGGCUUUGACGGGUAGCCGGCCUGAGAGGGUGACCGGUCACAUUGGGACUGAGAUACGGCCCAGGCUCCUACGGGAGGCAGCAGUGGGGAAUAUUGCACAAUGGGCGCAAGCCUGAUGCAGCGACGCCGCGUGAGGGAUGGAGGCCUUCGGGUUGUGAACCUCUUUCGCUCAUGGUCAAGCCGCAACAAUGGUUGUGGUGAGGGUAGUGGGUAAAGAAGCGCCGGCUAACUACGUG
rnacentral:rRNA from 1 species